AUCAGAAUUUUGGCCAAACCCAAUUACUCCCUGCGCAAAAUAGAAAGAGGAAGAAAGGAUCUUUUCUCUUCAAUUCUUUUGAAUCAAAUCAGUCUAACAUCCCAUUCUCCUUCACUCCAUGCGCAACAUCAUCCUCCACACAAGACUGAAUAUCUCUCUCUCAAUUCAGAAUGAAACAAUAUCUCUCUUCCUCUCUUUCAAGACCGUAGACCAGCUAGAGAAGGACCCAAAGUUUGCAUGCGAAAUUCCUCCUCCCUACCUCUCACAAACCGUGAGCUACAUAAGAGAACAACGACCAUCCAAGCUUUCAUUCCUUCAUCUCAUGGUCCGGCCGUUUUCCAUUGAGCGAGCAGUAUAGGAUUUUCUCUAGUUUCUGGUCUCUCCUCCAUCCCUUCGAUUUGAUGAAGACCGUCCCUUGCAUGCAGCUCAAAUCCGUCAUCUUGAAGAAUGGAAAGCUCAAAUCCGUCAUCUUGAAGAAUGGAAAGGUGAAAGAAUUUGUACAUCAUCUGACCACUGUUUUCCUUGGCCGAUUCGUGGACCUGGGUUGUCUUGCAAGUAGAAGCUCAUAAAACUCAAGGAUGUUGGACGGACUUGAGGCUCUUUUGAUUAGAAAGCUAAAAUAUCAGGAGGACUUAGAAGCAUUGGAAGAAGUGUUUGAUGACAUGAUUACAUGACAAUUCUGUUUAAGUUAAUCUGUUGACAUCCAUGUUGUUUGCCCGCUGUCUCUGUUGAGUGUAUUCUGAUUAUUUGACCUUGAGGUAGCAUGAUGUAUAUUCUGUUUUAAAAAGAAGUGUAGCACGAUGUAUAUUCUGUUUUGAAAAGAAGUGUAGCAUGAUGUUUAUGAUUCCGGUAGUUUAGUUUGCGAAAAGAAUUGUUAUUGUAUUGAAAUUCGGAUUUUUGAACUGUUUUUGCGAGCACUUUGCGAGUUGUCGUU